GUCCCGACUCAGAGGUAGGUCCUGACUCCGAGGCAGGUCCCGACUCGGAGGCAGGUCCCGACUCGGAGGCAGGUCCCGACUCUGAGGCCGGUCCUGACUCUGAGGCAGGUCCAGACUUGGAGGUUGUUCCAGACUCAGAGGCAGGUCCAGACUCGGAGGCCGGUCCUGACUCGGAGGCAGGUCCCGACUCUGAGGCCGGUCCUGACACUGAGGCCUGUCCUGAGUCAGAGGCAGGUCCUGACUCGGAGGCAGGUCCAGACUUGGAGGUUGUUCCAGACUCAGAGGCAGGUCCAGACUCGGAGGCCGGUCCUGACUCGGAGGCAGGUCCCGACUCUGAGGCCGGUCCUGACACUGAGGCCUGUCCUGAGUCAGAGGCAGGUCCUGACUCUGAGGCAGGUCCAGACUCGGAGGUCGGUCCUGACUCGGAGGUUGGCUCUACGUCUGGUCCUCUGUAAAAGGGUUCUUGAGUCUGAACAAUGUCCGAAUCGUCUCCACAGCAGACAGCAUGUUGAAUCCACUUCCAAGCCUUUCUGAGAUAGUCUUUCUGAAAA